rnacentral:rRNA from 1 species
UACAGAGGGUGCGAGCGUUACUCGGAAUUACUGGGCGUAAAGCGUGCGUAGACGGCUAUCUAAGUCGGGUGUGAAAGCCCUGGGCUCAACCUGGGAAUUGCAGUGGAUACUGGCAAGCUAGAGUGCGGUAGAGGAUGGUGGAAUUCCCGGUGUAGCGGUGAAAUGCGUAGAGAUCGGGAGGAACACCCGUGGCGAAGGCGGCCAUCUGGACCAGCACUGACGCUGAGGCACGAAAGCGUGGGGAGCAAACAGG